rnacentral:rRNA from 1 species
UUGAACGCUGGCGGCAUGCUUUACACAUGCAAGUCGAACGGCAGCACGGGGGCAACCCUGGUGGCGAGUGGCGAACGGGUGAGUAAUAUAUUGGAACAUACCCGGAAGUGGGGGAUAACGUACCGAAAGGUACGCUAAUACCGCAUACGCCCUGAGGGGGAAAGGGGGGGAUCGCAAGACCUCUCGCUAUCGGAGCGGCCGAUAUCGGAUUAGCUAGUUGGUGAGGUAAAGGCUCACCAAGGCGACGAUCCGUAGCUGGUCUGAGAGGACGACCAGCCACACUGGAACUGAGACACGGUCCAGACUCCUACGGGAGGCAGCAGUGGGGAAUUUUGGACAAUGGGCGCAAGCCUGAUCCAGCCAUGCCGCGUGAGUGAAGAAGGCCUUCGGGUUGUAAAGCUCUUUCAGCCGGAAAGAAAUGGCUGCUACUAAUACUAGGAGUAGAUGACGGUACCGGAAGAAGAAGCACCGGCUAACUACGU